AAUGAACGUUGGCGGCGUGGAUUAGGCAUGCAAGUCGAGCGCGAUCCGUAGCAAUACGGUGAGAGCGGCGAAAGGGAGAGGAAUACGUGGUUACCUACCCUCAGGUUCAGGAUAGCUAUGGGAAACUAUAGGUAAUACUGAAUAAUAUCUCCGGAUCAAAGGUGAGAUUCCACCUGGGGAGGGGACCGCGUCCUAUUAGCUUGUUGGUGAGGUAACGGCUCACCAAGGCGAAGAUGGGUAUGGGAUGUGAGAGCAUGAUCCCACUCACUGGGACUGAGACACUCGCCCAGACACCGUACGGGUGCAG
rnacentral:rRNA from 1 species